rnacentral:rRNA from 1 species
ACGGGAGGCAGCAGUGGGGAAUAUUGGACAAUGGGCGCAAGCCUGAUCCAGCGACGCCGCGUGAGUGAAGAAGUAUUUCGGUAUGUAAAGCUCUAUCAGCAGGGAAGAUAAUGACGGUACCUGACUAAGAAGCCCCGGCUAACUACGUGCCAGCAGCCGCGGUAAUACGUAGGGGGCAAGCGUUAUCCGGAUUUACUGGGUGUAAAGGGAGUGUAGGUGGUUUGGCAAGCCAGACGCGAAAGCCCGGGGCUCAACCCCGCGGACUGCAUUUGGAACUGUUAAACUUGAGUGCAGGAGAGGAAAGUGGAAUUCCUAGUGUAGCGGUGAAAUGCGUAGAUAUUAGGAGGAACACCAGUGGCGGAGGCGGCUUUCUGGACUGUAACUGACACUGAGGCUCGAAAGCGUGGGGAGCAAACAGGAUUAGAUACCCUGGUA